GUUUACUUUCUUUGAAAUGAAAUUACAAAUUACUUUGACACAUUCAGCAUUAUAAGCACUGUGUAUGAGCAUAAAUGUUGACAACAAGGUCGACCUCUUAUUUAGAGACGUGAGAUUGAAAGGGAUUGAAUCCUCUCCAGGUUAAUUCUCAUUACAGGCUAAAAGGGUUUAAAUCCAGACUUUUAUGUUUAAAAUGAUAAAGAGUGCUAUGACAGAGUUUAGAGUUUUGCUACUAAUAAACCAUCUUGUAUUCUUAAUCAAAAUUAAAUCAAAGUUUGAGUGUAUUGAAUGAUGUCUGAGAAAUACAGUUAAUGUAAUGAAAUGGUUCUAAUACCUGAUCUUCUGACAAAUCUAAAGGUUUUGUGUGCGUGCGUGUGUGUGUGUGUGUGUGUGUGUGUGUGUGUGUCUGCUUAUGUGCUGUCAUUGUUUGUACAGGCGGGGAAUUCAACAGUGGCACGGAGCCCAGAUCUUGUCUGAGAACUUUAGUGCUUGGUUUGGUGCCCUCUUGUGGUAGGGGUUGGUACUUGGGAAGCUUCUUAUGCAAAGCAGGGAGAAAAGGAGAGACCAUGGAUAAGAAAAUGGGUAACCCUUGUGGUGUCCUCUGGUCAAAAAUGGUCCCUAGGUGAACGCCAAACAAGUAUAUGGGAAUCCCGAGGACACAAAGGUCUUCAUGACUGGGCCAAGUGUCUUCUUUUUUUGGAAAUCAAAAUAUUGUCACCCUACCAUAUAGCGUGAAAUGGAAUUAAAAAAUUAAAAAAUAAAAACGCCCCCUACUGGUAAAAUUUGAAGUUACAGCAAAGGAGCUGCAACCUGCUGAUUUCUAUCAGGUUACCACUUAGACGUCGGGACAGGUUGCAUUUUAGCCACAUGCUGACUAGUUCCAGUCUUUCUGAAAAUAUGUGAAAUGUGCUUGUUUAUUUGUUUGAGUGUUUAGUAGUUUUGUUUUGUUUUAAUAUAUAUGUUAUGUGGGACAAACAUCUUGUUGUUCAUAUCUUCUUUUGAUCGACUUCUCUGUGAAGAGAGGUGACUGGCACCUUUAAGAAACCUUUGAGUCAAUCACAAUUAGGCAUGAA